rnacentral:rRNA from 1 species
UGUAGCUGGCCUUUCGGGGCAUGUGCACGCCCGAGCCCUUAAUCCACCCACACCUGUGAACCUAAUGUAGGUCGCCCCUCAAAAAGGUGGCCUAUGUCUUACUCAUCGACCCAUCGUAUGUCUCAUAGAAUGUAAAUCGAUAUCCUCGCCCUGAAAAAGCGUUGAUAAACUUAUACAACUUUCAACAACGGAUCUCUUGGCUCUCGCAUCGAUGAAGAACGCAGCGAAAUGCGAUAAGUAAUGUGAAUUGCAGAUUUUCAGUGAAUCAUCGAAUCUUUGAACGCACCUUGCGCUCCUUGGUAUUCCGAGGAGCAUGCCUGUUUGAGUGUCAUUAAAUUCUCAACUCCAAGGGUUUCACGACCUUUUUGGGGAUUGGACUUGGAGCGUGCCGGCGUCGACGUCGGCUCCUCUCAAAUGCAUCGGCGGAAUUCGAUCUUUGGCUUCCGGACAAUCAGUGUGAUAAUCGUGUUGCGCUGUCGUCUGAAUCCUCAAAGCCCGCUCAUAAUGGUCUUCGGACAAAUCAUCAUCAAAUUUGACCUCAAAUCAGGUAGGACUACCCGCUGAACUUAAGCAUAUCAAUAA